UUCACCGUGCAUGUGAUUUGCAUAUCGGAUCAUGUAAAAUGCCAACUCUCAAGUGCCAAUGAUUGCAGAAAAUAGUUAGCGAGAGUCGUUAUCAAUCGUUGUUUUUUUAGGUGCUUGUGUUUGUCUUGUUCCUUUCUAAACCUGAUCACACUGCGUCUGGUGUGGAGAGAGGAAGAGCCGACCGUAGACAGUGGGAUAGGUGUGCAGUUGCAACAACAAGCUUUGAGUCGUGUGAGAUGUUUUUUUUUUCUUUGUAUCAAAUCAAACCAACAGCUUCAAUUUCUACCUGCAGAAGCAAACAGAACUGUUGUUCAUAGAAUAACAUAACAGACUUCGUUGGUUUGCAUCCUCUGGUUUUACCCGCACCCUUUCUGUUCACAUACAGUUCAGAGAAAAUGGCGGAACUUGAGAAGGAAGGACUGAACCAAACAAUGCAUGAGAACCGAGAUGAAGAUGAGCCCCAUUAUACUGAUGACUCUAAAACAAGCAAGAUUCAGGACGACGCAAGUUUCGAGAAAAAGCUAAUUGAAGAGGUCAGAAGGUACAACAAUUUGUACAACACCUCAUUGAAAGACUAUAAAGACUUCACAAUAACCAGCAACAGCUGGAAGGAGAUUGCCCAAACUCUGAGAGUAGAAGAACAGGUUUGCAGGACGAAAUGGAAGAAAUUGAGAGACAGAUAUGUCAGACUGAGGAGGAAAAUUAAGGGGAAGAGUGGGGGUGCAGCAUCAGGAAUACAAACACAAAUACUCACCACACUGUCCUGGCUGUCUGGCUUCAUAAAACACAAGGAGACGAAGUCGGACUAUCCACAGGAAGAGGAGAUGGACACUUCAGAAGACCUGCAAGAUGACAACCUGAUCGAGCGGGAACCAUUCCACUAUUCUAAUAAUGAGCUGCAAGAUGGACAUUUGGCAAUUAGGAGGAAUGUAAUAUUAGAACGAACAAAAUUCAACCAAAGACAACAAGAAGCAGGAGAGACAGCUGAUGAUUUUAUCUCUGCACUUCAUUGUUUGUCAGAACAUUGUGGUUAUGGAGCUCUGCUCAGUGAGAUGAUAAGAGACAGACUAGUCGCAGGCUUACUUGACAGGAGACUGUCCAAGCAAUUACAAAUGGACCCAGAACUCACACUGGAUAAAGCUGUCACACGCAUUCGUCAAACUGAAAUUGUGGAAAAGCAACAGGACCUGCAGGAGAAUAUCUUCAAAGCUGCCAGCAGCUUGGAAAAUGAAGACUGUGUGCUUUCAUGUAGAAAACAUCAAUGCCCAGCCAAUGUCCAGUGCCAAUCAGAGAAGAAUCAAAACUCAGAAAGACCAGAACAACACCAAACAAUCCAGAAGAAUGCAGAAGAUCCCCUAGAUACUGAUGACACUGAUGGCUUCAUUACUGGAGGAGAAAAGCCUCACUACUGCGCCUACUGCGGUAGGAGCUUUCAAAAAGUGAGGGAUCUUAUAAGACACCAGCGAACGCAUACCGGAGAGAAGCCUCACCACUGCCCUGAUUGCGACAGAAGUUUUGCUCGAUUAGAUAAGCUUAAAUUACAUCAGCGAACACAUACUGGAGAGAAGCCUCACCACUGCCCUGAUUGCGACAGAAGUUUUGCUCGAUUAGAUAAGCUAAAGAUCCACCAAGAAAUACAUAUAGGAGUGAAGCCUCACAACUGCCCUGAUUGCAACAGAAGAUUUACUCGAUUAGAUAAGCUUAAGUCACACCAAAAAAUACAUGCAAAAGACAAACACACAUUUCAUUCCUCUGACUGUGCGAAAAGCUUUGUUUUAUUGGAGAAGCUUGAAAAACACCAGCUGGACAAUACCUUCAAAGCUACCAGCAGUGCAUCCAAUGUAGAUCGUGUGCUCACACAGGAGAGAACAUUCAGCAAAGUCAGAGAGAGUAAAAGGCAGCAGAGUAAAAUAGGAGCUAGAGCUCCAGGAAAGAGAACACCAACACAUAGUAAAAAAAUGCAGGAGAAGGAAGAGGAGCCCCUAGAUACUGAUGACUCUGAUGAGUGGAUCGAAGGUUUCAGUCCUGGAGGAGAGAAGCCUCACUACUGCUUUGACUGCGGUAAGAGCUUUAGAAAAGUGAGGGAUCUUAUAAGACACCAGCGAACACAUACAGGAGAGAAGCCUCACCACUGCCCUGUUUGUGACAGAACUUUCGCUAGAUUAGACAAACUUAAAUUACACCAAGAAAUACAUACAGGAGUGAAGCCUCACCACUGCCCUGAUUGUGAGAGAAGUUUUGCUCGAUUAGAUAAUCUUAAAUUACACAAGAAAAUACAUAUAAAAGAGGAACAUAAUGUUACACUGAACCAUCAAACUGAAAUGAAUGUAGACUGUGUGCACACACAGCAGGGAACAGCCAGCAGAGGCAGGCAGAAGAGUAAAAUGCGAGCUAGUGCACCAGGGGGAAAAAUGGGCCAGUCACAUCCAGGCAAAGACUCCCCUUACGAAAGUUCAGUUCGAAAGAAUCGACACUCAGAAAAACUGCGACUACCCCAAACAACGCAGGAGAAUGACAAGGAUCCUGAAGAUACUUCUGAUAACUGGACAGAGAGUUUCAGUACUGUAGAGAAGCCAUACAUCUGCUCUGACUGCGGUAAGAGCUUCAGACUAGAGAAUCGUCUUAUAAGACAUCAGCGAACACAUACAGGAGAGAAGCCUUACGACUGCCCUGACUGUGACAAAAGUUUUGCGCGAUUAGAUCAUGUUAAGUCACACCAAAAAACACACAUGAAGGAGGAACGUAAUUUCCGCUGCUCUGACUGUGUGAAAAGCUUUGUCCGAUUGGAACAGCUUGAAAAACAUCAGUUAACACACAAGAAAAGUUACCGCUGUUCAAAGUGUGAUGAAAAGUUUUCAGACCUGGUUGACUGGAAAGCACACUUUUUAGUACACCGAGAGAUCCUCCACUGUCCUGACUGUAACAAGCAGUUCUUGUACAAGGGACUUUUUGAAAGACACAGGAGAACACAUUUGAGAAAAAGAGAGAAAUUUCUCUGCACAAUAUGUGGAAAGGAGAUUCACAACUUUAAAAUACACAUGCGAGUACACACGGGAGAGAAACCAUAUCACUGCACCGAGUGUGGGAAGAGUUUUGCAUAUACAAAAUCGUACAAAUCACAUAUACUAACACAUACCUCUGGUGAAAGAGCAACCUAUCCUUGUUUGGAAUGUGGAAAGACUUUUACCCGCAUAGAUGGCAUGGUGAGACACGUGAGGAGGGUUCAUACUGGAGAGAGAAAUCAUCAGUGCGGAGACUGUGGAAAACGAUUCUUUCGAAAAGAGUCACUGAAGAGACACAGUCUUGUUCACACUGGAGAGAAACCAUACCAAUGCUCUAUCUGUGGGCAACGCUUCUCCCAAGAUGGCGACAGAAAACGCCACGAGAAGAGGCACUACUCUGGUGUCUCAGAGUUCCUCGAUCUAUAAGGCAGAAGUAGUGUUGGGUAUUGCAGGAACCUACCCAAUCAAUGUGAUUUCUAACCAGGUGGCCUGCAAUUGCCACCACAGACUAGAAAAUACACAUAGACAGACUUUUGCUGAUACACAAGUCUGAGUAUUGCUGUUUUCAUUGAAGUAUUUCUUUUUUUCAAAAGUCUUAUUUUAAAUGUGUUUUAAUAUUUUGUUUCAACAAGUAUACUAUCAAUAGCGGUCAUUGUUAAAUUAUGGGCUUUCCCCAUUGGAGAUUUUUAGUCAGCUAUAUUGUAUUAAAGAUGCACAAUGCAGAAAUCUCUCCACCAUUUUCCUGGUUGCUGAAAUUUGAAUAGUUUGCCUAAUUUCAAUUUAUGUGACAAAACAAGCAAGUAUAGUGUACAAUGGUUCCAUCUAUACCGUUGUGAAAUAUAUUUUCCAGAACAAAAAAUAUUGUACUUUCAUCCGGUGCACAAAAGUGAAAGACAGAACAGGAAGCAUAGAAAUGGCGCACAUAGAACAUAUCUACCGCUUCUUAGACUUGCUUUUGAUGAGUGACAGAUCUAUAACACACAUUUAUGUGAAUUUGCUCAGGUCGCUCAAAAAGUUAUAUAUUGCAGCUUUAAUGUUGAUAUUUUGUUUAUCAGGCCACAAGCUACUUUGAAAAGAUGCCAAUGAAAGGUUCCCAACUACAACCUUCGGGUGAAUACAUUUGUCUGAAAUUUGCUCUUAAGCUGCAGAGGUCAAACAAAUUCUCCAGCUGGCUGCCACCUAUGAGAGAUCAGCGACCCGGAGUUAGGACAAGGCAGGGUGGGCAUCUACAGGUUAGAUCCACCAUUGAACUCUACAGACAAAGCCCAAUACCUUGACUGGCUAACCAUUGACAUCGAUCGAGCCAACUGACGUUUCUUCUCCACGAUGAGUCUGGAUUUGCCUUCGAAUGUGAACACAUUCUGACCUUUCUGAUUGGUCCCAGAAAUUGAUAGGUUGGGCCAGCGUCGGCCUGCAUGAUGACGUUAUCAACUUUUAUACUUUGCGUGGUUAAGAUUUGUUAGACUAUCCAAUCACUGAUGAAUUAGUUUGUACAAUGCUUCUCAUUUUGAAGUCACACAAAUAACUUCUAGGAUGGCAACGCCUUCAGAAAGUUCAUACCCCUUGACUUAUUCCACAAUCUGUUGUUACAACCUGAAUUCUAAAUGGAUUUUUUUCUCACCCAUCUUCACACAUUACCCCAUAAUGACAAUGUGAAAACAUGUUUUUUGAAAUGUUAUCAAAUUUAUUGAAAAUUAAAUAUAAAAUCUACUUAAGUAUUCACACUCCGUUGCGAUGACACUCCAAAUUGAGUUCACGUGCAUCCGAUUUCCUUCGAUCAUCCUUGAGGUGUCGCUGCAACUUAAUUGGAAUCCACCUGUGGUCAAUUAAAUAGUUUGGACAUGAUUUAGAAAGAAACACACCUGUCUAUAUAAGGUCCCACAGUUGACUGUGCUUGUCAGAGCAGAAACUAUCCAAUAAAGUCCAAGGAACUGUCUGUAGAUCUCCGAGAGAGAAUUGUGAUCAGGCCUAUAUCUGGAAAAGGGUAUAAAACUAUUUCUAGUGUUGAAAGUUUAAGAGCACAGUGGUCUCCCUCAUUGGGAAAUUUAAAACAUGUGGAACUACCCAGACUGCCGAGAGCUGGCCAUCCAACCAAACUGAGCAACCGGGCAAAAAAGGACCUUGGUCAGGGAGGUGACCCAAUGACCACUCUGACAGAACUACACAGUUCCUUGACUGAGAUGGAAAAACCUGUCCAGAAAGACAACGGUCUCUUACAGAUUUACGGGAGUGGCCAGACAGAAGCCACUCCUGAGAUAAAGGCACAUAACAGCACCCCUGGAGUUUGCAAAAAAGCACGUGAUCGACUGAGAGAAUAAGUCAAAAGAGGCUCUGGUCUGAUGAGACAAUUUUUACUCUUUGACCUCAAAUGCAAAGCGCUAUGUCUGGAGAAAACCAGGCCCACUCAUCACCCAUCUCUACCGUGAAGCAUGAAUGGCAGCAUCAUGCUGUGGGGAUGCUAUUCAGCGGCAGGGAUUGGGUGUCUUGAAAGGAUGGGGGAGCAAUGAAUGGAGCCAAAUACAGGCAAAUCCUUGAUGAGAAGCUGGGCAAAUAACCUUAGACUGGGGGCGAAGAUUUAUGUUCCAACAGGACAAUGACCCCAAGCAUACAGCCAAAGCAACGCUGGAAUGGCUUCAGAACAAGACUGAAAGUCCUUGAGUGGCCCAGACUUGAAUUCCAUUGAAAAUCUGUGGAAAGACUAAGUUAGAUGGGGAACGGCAUUGAACAGCAAUCUUGAGGUUGAGAAAAUCUGCAAGGAAGAAUGGGAGAAAAUCACCAAAUCCAGAUGUGCCAUGCUAAUACAUACAUACCCAACACGACGCAAAGAUGUAAUCGCCGCCGAAGGUGCUUCUACAAAGUAUUAACUCGGGGGGGUGAAUUAUGUAAAUGUGAUAUUUAAUUUACAUUUUCUAAAAACAUGUUCUCACUUGUCAUUAUGGUGUAUUUUGUGUAGAUGGGUGUGAAAAUGAAAUAAAUUUGAAUUCAGGCUGAAACACUGUGGUCAAGUGGUAUCAAUACUUUCUGAAGCCAAUGUAUGUAGCGAUGAAUAGAGCAGCGGAAUAAGGUUCAGGGUGUCGUCAGGCAACCCAAUAUCUUCAUUAGUUAGGCUUUUAAACGUCACUCGAUGGGGGACAUGUUCACAUUAAAAAAUGUUUUGUGUUUCUGCUUUUAAUCAUGUUCUUACUUGUAUAUUGUUGUUCCCCCUGUGUUAUACAAUCUGCCUUGCAAACUAUAAUUUUUAAUAAAAGAUAAGUGGGCAUA